rnacentral:rRNA from 1 species
UGCCUGCCCACUGAUAUUCUAUUUUAACGGCCGCGGUAUUCUGACCGCGCAAAGGUAGCAUAAUCACUUGUCUUUUAAAUAAGGACUAGUAUGAACGGCAAGACGAAAGCUUAACUGUCUCCUUUACCCAGUCAAUGAAACUGAUCCCCCAGUACAAAAGCUGGAAUUCAAUAAUAAGACGAGAAGACCCUAUGGAACUUUAAGCACGCACCAACCAAUGUUUAACCACAAAAGGCUUGACACGCUGCUUUUGGUUGGGGUAACCACGGAGAAAAACUAUCCUCCAAGAAAUCAAACCAAGUAACACAAAACAAAGUUUUAUCACUUUCCCAUCGACCCAGUACAACUGAUCAACGAACCAAGCUACCCUAGGGAUAACAGCGCCAUCUUCUUCAAGAGUCCAUAUCGCCAAGAAGGUUUACGACCUCGAUGUUGGAUCAGGGUACCCAAACAGUGCAGCCGCUGUUAAAGGUUUGUUUGUUCAA